GGAGGAGUAGUAGAAAAUACAUGGCGUUCGUAUGGUAAUAACGUCCAAACGUUUGCAUAGCAGAAAAUACAUGGCCAAAUUAUAAUUUUUGAAUUAGCAUAACUAUCCCAGAAACCAUAUUUUUCCUUCAAUUUCGCCGAACCUAGUUUGAAACCUGUUUGAUUUGCCAACAACAGCCCACCCGUCUUGACUUUUUCGGUGUUUUCCGAUCACAACAGCCAACCAGACCACUUGGGUUUUGUUCCUCUCUAUGGCGCGCAGCUAUCCCUGGGAUCAGAACCAUCAUCCAACCACUAAAUGCGAUGAAUCAACUCCGUGAAACAUUUUGCACUGCCCCCAAAACUUUGCAAUUUUUUUUUACCUUUUCCCAACUUUGGAGGACUUUUCUAAUUGUUUUCCAGUCAUUUUUGACCAUUACAUGACAGUAUGUUCAGAUUCCCG
rnacentral:lncRNA from 1 species